UUACAAUCAGAUGAGGAUGAUGAUGGGCUGUGGCUGCAGUCUGGCUCCACUGGUCUGGUGUAGAACAGGAUCUCUGGAGGCUGUUUGUAACUGUGGUCACAAAAUUCAAUCUUCUGGGAGAACGGGAAGCAGCUCAAUUUUGUGGGGCCUCUUACAUAGCUCAAGGUCUGGGCCCCAGGGCCUGACGGUGAGUAUGCCCAUAAAGCCCACCCAUAAGUCCACCUACAUGAGUCCGCUCACAGGGAGUAGAGUGUGUAGGGGAUGUGUUAUGUGUUACUGUAGAGGAUCUAAUGUG